GUUUUAGUUAUUUUAGUACUUAAACUUAAAAUCACCAAAAAUUAGAAAUGUUGUCUGGGCAACUAUAGCUGACAUAAAAUAGGUUUAAGUUAAAUUUAUUUUAUUUCAGUCAAUGUUUAUUUCAAGUAAUGAAAAUGUUUUUAGUUUCAUUCAAUUUUAGUGUUUAAAACAAGUGAAAACAAAUCUGUAAAUGGAAAGAAAUAGUCUCAAAAGUUUCUUAUCUUAUGGUCAAUUUCUUCUAAAAAUUAAUCUUGAUAUUAUACUAGAAAACAAUACAGAAAUGCUGAUUUAAAUAUGAAUUAUGUGAACAAAUAUAGAACAAACUAAUAUUUCACUUUAAAUAAAUUAUCCAUUGUUUAGCCCCAACUAAUGAAUCGACAGAAAAUGAAUAAUAAAUAGUUACUAAUAGCUGAUCUGCCCUACCUGACAAACUCGACCACUAGAUGCCACUUUAUUUCGUCAUCCCAAUUACAGAAAUCAAAUAAAAUAUGUAAAAUAAUAACAAUUUCAAAGCCUUAAAGUGACUUUGCUAACACAAUAAAACGAAUGUGAGGUGAGAUGAUUAGACCGUUGUAAGUUGUUGUUGCCUAGCAACUGCAACGACAUUUUUUGAAAUGUAUUCGAGGCGAGCUGUCAUUUUCCCGGGAAUCUCCGCGUCACGUGACUCGCCCGGCGCCUCGUGUGCAGCUCUUCUCUCCGAAUCAAAAUGGCGGCGCCGCAUGGCGUAAAACCGAGGGAUUUAAAGUGUGAUUUCACGGACCAUACAGCAGCCCAGGCGCACCGGGACUCUCAGGUUGAAUUCGGAAAUCACGAUGUUUCUGUCUUCGAGCUGGACGUCGGAAGGAUCUCCGAUGCGCUUCACGGAAGCCUGGAUCCGUCCAUUUUAUCCAUCUUUCAGGAGAAGAGGCUGACGGAGAGCGUGGAGAGCGAGGCGUCGCUGCUGUCCGCUCUGACCGAGAUGUUGGACAGCGUGGACGUCGAGACGCUGUCGCCGUUUGACACGCUGCCGGACGCCGAGAUCUUCGCUGCUCAGAAGGGUUCGGAUCACACGGAGGUUGUGAUGUCAGACAGACGGUUGAGACCCCGUCGCCGUUUAGUGACCCAGCGUGACGAAGAAGAUGAGAAGAAGACGCGCCGCUCCGUCAGAACCUUCCGGAUCGAAUCCGAGCCAAUAUUCCCACAGGACGGACGCGAGUUACUUGCGGAUCUCGUGAGACACAUGCAUCCGUACUGCAUCAGGACACACCUGGAGAAGGAGACGCGAGCGUCUGCGGAGGAGGAAGAGGAAGAGGAGGAGUUUGUUGAUGUAGAAGGUUACGAGGAACAGGAAGAGAGCAUUCGGGACCAAUCAGGACACGGACCAGACUUGAAUCCAAAAGCAGAACGAGACGACGAACCAAAUGCACCGAACACCGACAGCCAGGAAGAAAAUGUGGUAAGUGGUAAGAUGACGCCUCGACGCAGCGCUUUAGUCACAGCCAGCGAUGUGAAGAUGCAGAAGAAGAAAACAGUGACUUUUGCGUUCGAUCUAAUCUCCGUUCACGAGAUUCCACCUGAUGAUGAGGAAUCCGAUUCUGAACCCACAUCCUGUAAAGCUGACGUCACUUCCUCUCAGAAGCCCAAAGCGCUCAGUCUGGACCAGUACCGUCUCCUCAGACAGAACAGACAACCUCCGGAGGAGAAACAGAUGGACUUUCGGACCAAAUGGCCUUCGCUUCCCGACCUUCCCAGAGAGCUUCCGCCAAUCCUGCCACAGCCGGAUCCAAACACACCCUCUGGUGAGAUAUUACCGGCUGUUAGAGUGAAAACACCUCCAUCCCGGCCGCGGGGAGUCACACGUCCCUCUCGGAGAGACGGCAGGAAGGCUGUAGAGCGUCGCAUCGACCCUCCAAACCCGGUUUUAGUGCCCUUGAAACCCACAGGACGCAUAAACACAGCCCAGACCCGAGCAGCGCCGCAGGACGCCUCAGAACCGAAACCAGACGUCUGUGUUUCUUGUGAAGAGGUCCGACUCUCGGAGGUCGUGCCGGUGACAUCUGCUUCCGUCUCAGCGGUCAUCAAACCCACAGCUUCAGCUGAAAGGAGACGGCUGUCCGUCCUGAUGCCCACGACUCUCACAGAACAACAGCGCGCUGGACAGCAGAACCAGACGACCUGUGCUGAGAUCGGUGAGCAAGAAAUAGCCAUGUUUAGAGACUAUAACAAACUUGCUCUUCAGUUAAAAUCGCUUUCAGAGCAGGGUCAUUUGUUUACUGAAGCCAUACAAAAACAUUGCAUUACUUAUAUUAAAUUAACUGAAAUAUAACUUGCCAGGGCAGCAUUUCUUAUUAUCAUUUGGUUUAACUUGAUGUACUAAAAGAAUAAAAAAAACUGAAAUUAAAAUUAAUUUAAAAAA
ensembl:lncRNA